ACCGCGCGGUGCGCCCACGGGCAGGCGAGGCUGACGACCAGCCGGUAACGGCCCGGUUCCGGCUCCGGGCGCGCGGUG
rnacentral:tRNA from 1 species